rnacentral:tRNA from 2 species
GUAGAUAUAGUUUUAAUAAAACACCAGACCGUGGCUCUGAAAAUAGAAGUUAAAACCUUCUUAUCAACC